AUUGAACGCUGGCGGCAGGCCUAACACAUGCAAGUCGAACGAGUGGCGGACGGGUGAGUAAUGUCUGGGAAACUGCCUGAUGGAGGGGGAUAACUACUAGAAACGGUAGCUAAUACCGCAUACCAUCGGAUGUGCCUAGAUGGGAUUAGCUAGUAGGUGGGGUAAAGGCUCACCUAGGCGAAGAUCCCUAGCUGGUCUGAGAGGAUGACAGGCAAAACUGGAACGGAGACACGAUCCAGAAUCCUACGGUAGGAAGAAGUGGGGAAUAUUGCACAAUGGGUGCAAGCCUGAUGUAGCCAUGCCGCGGGGAUGAAGAAGGCCUUCGGGUUGUAAAGUACUUUCAGCGGGGAGGCGUUACCCGCAGAAGAAGCACCGGCUAACUCCGUGCCAGCAGCCGCGGUAAUUC
rnacentral:rRNA from 1 species